CAAGUACCAUGAGGGAAAGAUGAAAAGGACUUUGAAAAGAGAGUUAAAAGUGCCUGAACUCGCUGAAAGGAAAGCGGAUGGAACCAGUCGUGCUUGGCGAGAUUGUUGCGUGCAAAGGUGACUGCUCACUGCUCGUAGCGUAAGCGCAGCAGCGGGUUUCGAUCUGGUCGCGCGCGAUGCUUCUUGCCUUGUUCGUCAUCGUUGGUUUGGAGGCGCGGACAACUCUUGGGACAUGGUAACUCGCCCACGGGCGAGCGAAUGUGCCUUGCAGAACUCACCUCCAAACUGAUGUCUCUUGUUAGGUUCUGUUGCCGUACGCGGCACGUUCUUGACAAAGCGUGGUGACAGAAUGGUUCUAUUCGACCCGUCUUGAAACACGGACCAAGGAGUCUAACAUAUGUGCGAGUUCCUGGGUGUCGAAGCCUACGCGCGCAAUGAAAGUGAUAACUGAGAAUCUUGCACCAGCAGCCGACCGAUCAAUCGGGGAGAGGUUUUGAGCAUGAGCAUAUCUGUUAGGACCCCGAAAAGAUGGUGAACUAUGCCUGUGAAGGGGUGAAAGUCUGGGGAAAACUCUGAUGGAGGCUCGUAGCGAUACUGACGUGC
rnacentral:rRNA from 1 species